UACGUAGGGGGCGAGCGUUGUCCGGAUUUAUUGGGCGUAAAGAGCGUGUAGGCGGCCAGGUAGGUCCGUUGUGAAAACUCGAGGCUCAACCUCGAGACGUCGAUGGAAACCAUCUGGCUAGAGUCCGGAAGAGGAGAGUGGAAUUCCUGGUGUAGCGGUGAAAUGCGCAGAUAUCAGGAAGAACACCCGUGGCGAAGGCGGCUCUCUGGUACGUGACUGACGCUGAGACGCGAAAGCGUGGGGAGCGAACAGG
rnacentral:rRNA from 1 species